UUUACCAUAAACUCUCUUAAAACUUUAAUUUCUAAUUCAAGUCAUGCAGGCUGUAAGAAACGCAGGGUCGUGGCUCCUGCGGACUUGGCCCCAGACAACUGGGAUCGUGGCCAGGACUCCGGCCCGGACCGUCCACACAGGUGCCCAGCAGCUGCAAGACGCUGCGCCCAAGCAGGAAGUUGAAGAGAAGACGGCAGCUCCCAGACACACCAGCUUCAGCAUUUACCCUCCCAUUCCAGGAAAGGAGAGCUCUCUGAGGUGGGCAGGAAAGAAGAUUGAGGAGAUCCCAGUCGCACAUAUGAAAGCAUCCUACAAUAAGACACGGAUCCAGGUAGUCUCUGCCAGUAACCAGCCCCUUGCCCGUGCUUCCUGUGGCACAGAGGGAUUUUGGGAUGCCAAGAAGGGCACAGGCAUCGCAGCACAGACAGCAGGCAUAGCCGCAGCGGCGAAAGCUAUACAAAAGGGUGUGACCCACAUCCGAGUUGUGAAAGGCCUGGGGCCAGGACGCUUGUCUGCCAUCAACGGUCUGACCAUAGGGGGCCUGGAAGUGAUUUCAAUCAGAGACAACACCCCAUUACCGCACAAGGGCUGCCGUCCCAGGAAGGCUCAGAGGCUGUGAUGGGAAGGAAGCCUGCACUUGGACCUGGCCUCAAGCCUCAGCUCGUCGGACCUUGUAGAAAGCUCCCUGUCAGAGCCCUUUCCAGAAUAUGCUUACUAGAAAUGCUUCAGACGGUAAGGGUAAGCUUUACCUCCUUACACAGUGGCCUUUGCUUGUACCUUCAGCUGGAGAUAGGUGUGCCCCAGAAGUGAGCUUUGCUUCUCUUGACAAGAGGGGAGCAAUGCGGGGCGGGGGGGGUGCUGGGUGCGGCAGCCGUGGCCUAGACCCAACUUCUGCUCUGAGAAAAUAAAAAGUCUGUACCAUUAAAAAACAAACAAAAACAAAACAAACAAAAAAAACAAAGCUUUCCUUUCUAUGAUAUAUUUUCUAGCAAAUUUUGUAUUUGUCUCAUUUUGUACUUGUCUCACUUUACCAAAAGCCUUUCUUUUUACAAGCAAUGAAGCACCAUGCUAACUGAUUUACCCCUCUCACCUGUGGACAGUGUAUGCUUUUAUCUUAAAUGAUCUGAAAGUUAUAUUUAUAAGCACACUCUCCAGUUGAAACCAGUUUUUCAGGGCAUUAGAAAACACCAAAGUUCUGAUCAAAACCCUCAAAACACCAUGUGAAAUGACACAGCAU